AAAUUGAAGAGUUUGAUCAUGGCUCAGAUUGAACGCUGGCGGCAGGCCUAACACAUGCAAGUCGAACGGUAACAGGAAGCAGCUUGCUGCUUUGCUGACGAGUGGCGGACGGGUGAGUAAUGUCUGGGAAACUGCCUGAUGGAGGGGGAUAACUACUGGAAACGGUGGCUAAUACCGCAUAACGUCGCAGGACCAAAGAGGGGGACCUUCGGGCCUCUUGCCAUCAGAUGUGCCCAGAUGGGAUUAGCUUGUUGGUGAGGUAACGGCUCACCAAGGCGACGAUCCCUAGCUGGUCUGAGAGGAUGACCAGCCACACUGGAACUGAGACACGGUCCAGACUCCUACGGGAGGCAGCAGUGGGGAAUAUUGCACAAUGGGCGCAAGCCUGAUGCAGCCAUGCCGCGUGUAUGAAGAAGGCCUUCGGGUUGUAAAGUACUUUCAGCGGGGAGGAAGGUGUUGUGGUUAAUAACCGCAGCAAUUGACGUUACCCGCAGAAGAAGCACCGGCUAACUCCGUGCCAGCAGCCGCGGUAAUACGGAGGGUGCAAGCGUUAAUCGGAAUUACUGGGCGUAAAGCGCACGCAGGCGGUCUGUCAAGUCGGAUGUGAAAUCCCCGGGCUCAACCUGGGAACUGCAUUCGAAACUGGCAGGCUUGAGUCUUGUAGAGGGGGGUAGAAUUCCAGGUGUAGCGGUGAAAUGCGUAGAGAUCUGGAGGAAUACCGGUGGCGAAGGCGGCCCCCUGGACAAAGACUGACGCUCAGGUGCGAAAGCGUGGGGAGCAAACAGGAUUAGAUACCCUGGUAGUCCACGCCGUAAACGAUGUCUACUUGGAGGUUGUGCCCUUGAGGCGUGGCUUCCGGAGCUAACGCGUUAAGUAGACCGCCUGGGGAGUACGGCCGCAAGGUUAAAACUCAAAUGAAUUGACGGGGGCCCGCACAAGCGGUGGAGCAUGUGGUUUAAUUCGAUGCAACGCGAAGAACCUUACCUGGUCUUGACAUCCACAGAACCCUGUAGAGAUACGGGGGUGCCUUCGGGAGCUGUGAGACAGGUGCUGCAUGGCUGUCGUCAGCUCGUGUUGUGAAAUGUUGGGUUAAGUCCCGCAACGAGCGCAACCCUUAUCCUUUGUUGCCAGCGGUCCGGCCGGGAACUCAAAGGAGACUGCCAGUGAUAAACUGGAGGAAGGUGGGGAUGACGUCAAGUCAUCAUGGCCCUUACGACCAGGGCUACACACGUGCUACAAUGGCGCAUACAAAGAGAAGCGACCUCGCGAGAGCAAGCGGACCUCAUAAAGUGCGUCGUAGUCCGGACUGGAGUCUGCAACUCGACUCCAUGAAGUCGGAAUCGCUAGUAAUCGUGGAUCAGAAUGCCACGGUGAAUACGUUCCCGGGCCUUGUACACACCGCCCGUCACACCAUGGGAGUGGGUUGCAAAAGAAGUAGGUAGCUUAACCUUCGGGAGGGCGCUUACCACUUUGUGAUUCAUGACUGGGGUGAAGUCGUAACAAGGUAACCGUAGGGGAACCUGCGGUUGGAUCACCUCCUUA
rnacentral:rRNA from 1 species